rnacentral:lncRNA from 1 species
AUUGUUACUAGUUACUAACAUCUACAUCGUUUUUGGUUCUGGUGGAUAUUUGUUUCAUUUUCAAUCCUAUCACAUCUUCUUAUAUUAGUUAUGUACUUUUUCCAUCAAAACGUUUAACUCAACUUCAUAUCUAUCUUAUGAUGACAUGAUUUCAUUCAAAUAAGAAGCUCGCACAGAUAAAUUAUGUAACAUCCGCUAAUGAUUUAAAUUGAUUGAUAAACAAGAUAUGUUUUGUC